CCUACGGGAGGCAGCAGUAGGGAAUCUUCCGCAAUGGACGAAAGUCUGAUGGAGCAACGCCGCGUGAGUGAAGAAGGUUUUCGGCUCGUAAAGCUCUGUUGGUAGUGAAGAACGAUGACGUUAGUAACUGACCUUUCUUUGACGGUAUUUACUUAGACAGUCCCGGCUAACUACGUGCCAGCAGCCGCGGUAAUACGUAGGUGGCAAGCGUUGUCCGGAUUUAUUGGGCGUAAAGCGAGUGCAGGCGGUGCAUUAAGUCUGAUGUGAAAGCCUUCGGCUCAACCGGGGAAUUGCAUCAGAAACUGGGGGACUUGAGUGCAGAAGAGGAGAGUGGAACUCCAUGUGUAGCGGUGGAAUGCGUAGAUAUAUGGAAGAACACCAGUGGCGAAGGCGGCUCGCUGGUCUGUAACUGACGCUGAGGCUCGAAAGCAUGGGUAGCGAACAGGAUUAGAUACCCCAGUAGUC
rnacentral:rRNA from 1 species